GUGGCGAGCAAAGUUUCUGAGUCCUGCUCAGCUCGCGGUCUUCCCUCCCCUCUGUUUGUGUUUCGGCGGCGCGGUGUGUGUGUGUGUGUGUGUGUGUGUGUGUGUGCGCGCGCGCGCGUGUGCGGCGGGGAAGGGGCGGGGAGAGUGAGAGGGACCAGCCGGAGGUUGAGAGGGGCUCGCGGAGCUCCAGCUCCACAGCGGUGCUGCAACCUUCAGCCCGGGCAGGCGAGAGGGAGAGCGCUGACAGCCGCCGUCCGGAGCUGCUGGAGGCGCCGCCACAGUCCAGCGCCGACUUCCCCGCCUCCACCGUCAACAGUGCAGAAGAAAAGGGGGACCGAUCGCCACCACCCUACCCCGCCCCAAACAAAAAGCCUUGUGGAUUACAAAGUGAAACUGACACGGGACAAUAAAACCAAAGGGCAAGAGGUCAGGGGCGAGGCGCACUAGAGUGGGCUUCUGACUGGGACUGCCGGAGGAGUCCCCUGGCAUGGUGAGGGGAGGGGACGCGGGGACAGCGCGCUGCUCCUGCCCGACGCCGGCGAGGCCGAGAAGAAAGGGGGACCUGCGCUUGAUUUGGAUGUACAAAUAAUGGGUCGGCAGGCGUCCCGGCAGAGGUAAAAAAAAAAAAAUGCUGAGGAGCGCUGGAUUUUGCCUGUGCCCGCCUAAGGGCUGGAAACGGCAGCAGGGGCGGCGGCAGCUCCUCCUGGAGGAGAAGGGACGGAGCUGAGCGCUCCAGAGCGCCCCGCGAGCGUUUGGAAUGCAGUUUGCUGGCUGCCCGAGCUUAGACGCCGCCGCCUGGGCCUCCGCGCCACUUCUGCAGCCCUGCUGAAGGGCUUUGCAGCCUUGUUCUUGAGGAGAGGGGAACUCGAGGAAACUCCUUGUCUCCAGCUUUUGGAAAAGGAAUUCGAUAAUCCUCGGUUCCCCAUCGUCCCCUCCCCAGUGCGCAGUUGUUCUCUCCACACCGCUGCGGAAGUUUGUCCUUCCUUCCUCAGUUUCUUCGCCUUGGGUAAGUUUUAAAGUUUCUGAAGAUAAUAGUUUGAGGUAAUUCUUCCUAUACCUUAAAUACAGGCAACUUCUUCCAACUCCUAUCCACCCCCGGCGAAAACGCUCAGACUCUCCGGAUUCGAAAAUAAAGUGAAGGGGGAAAUAUAGGAGACUGGAGAAACUGCUCUGGGAACUCGUCCACAAGCAGGAGUAAGUGCCCGAGGAAUGCCCUGCCGCUUUUCCUCAAGGCAUCUCUUCCCUCACUAAGCGUCCAAAUGGCUACCUGGAGGCUUUUGCUCGUGCGAAUUGCUUCUUCUGGACUGGAAGUUCUUUGAAAUAGCAGAGCUCUCAGAGCCAUCGGCUGCAUGUCUGCUGGUGCUACUUGAUCCCUGUCAUUAUCACUUUUUUUUUUUUGGCCUCACCUCUUCCUUC
rnacentral:lncRNA from 1 species